rnacentral:rRNA from 1 species
GAUGAGCCUGCGUUGGAUUAGCUAGUUGGUGGGGUAAAGGCCUACCAAGGCGACGAUCCAUAGCUGGUCUGAGAGGAUGAUCAGCCACACCGGGACUGAGACACGGCCCGGACUCCUACGGGAGGCAGCAGUGGGGAAUAUUGCGCAAUGGGCGAAAGCCUGACGGAGCAACGCCGCGUGAGGGACGAAGGCCUCUGGGCUGUAAACCUCUUUUCUCAAGGAAGAAGAUAUGACGGUACUUGAGGAAUAAGCCACGGCUAAUUCCGUGCCAGCAGCCGCGGUAAUACGGGAGUGGCAAGCGUUAUCCGGAAUUAUUGGGCGUAAAGCGUCCGCAGGCGGCUUUUCAAGUCUGCUGUUAAAACGUGGAGCUUAACUCCAUCAUGGCAGUGGAAACUGAAAGGCUUGAGUAUGGUAGGGGCAGAGGGAAUUCCCGGUGUAGCGGUGAAAUGCGUAGAUAUCGGGAAGAACACCAGUGGCGAAGGCGCUCUGCUGGGCCAUUACUGACGCUCAUGGACGAAAGCCAGGGGAGCGAAAGGGAUUAGAUACCCCUGUAGUCCUGGCCGUAAACGAUGAACACUAGGUGUCGGGGGAAUCGACCCCUUCGGUGUCGUAGCUAACGCGUUAAGUGUUCCGCCUGGGGAGUACGCACGCAAGUGUGAAACUCAAAGGAAUUGACGGGGGCCCGCACAAGCGGUGGAGUAUGUGGUUUAAUUCGAUGCAACGCGAAGAACCUUACCAGGGUUUGACAUCCUGCGAACCUCUUAGAAAUUUGAGGGUGCCUUCGGGAAUGCAGUGACAGGUGGUGCAUGGCUGUCGUCAGCUCGUGUCGUGAGAUGUUGGGUUAAGUCCCGCAACGAGCGCAACCCACGUUUUUAGUUGCCAGCAUUUAGUUGGGCACUCUAGAAAGACCGCCGGUGAUAAACCGGAGG